UACGUAGGGUGCAAGCGUUGUCCGGAAUUAUUGGGCGUAAAGAGCUCGUAGGCGGUCUGUCGCGUCGGCUGUGAAAACUCGGGGCUCAACCCCGAGCCUGCAGUCGAUACGGGCAGACUAGAGUGCUGUAGGGGAGACUGGAAUUCCUGGUGUAGCGGUGAAAUGCGCAGAUAUCAGGAGGAACACCGGUGGCGAAGGCGGCAUCCUGGACCGGCAUUGACGCUGAGGCGCGAAAGCCAGGGGAGCAAACGGGG
rnacentral:rRNA from 1 species